rnacentral:rRNA from 1 species
UUAUGCGAUACUUGGUGUGAAUUGCAGAAUUCAGUGAAUCAUCGAAUCUUUGAACGCACAUUGCGCCCGCCAGUAUUCUGGCGGGCAUGCCUGUCCGAGCGUCAUUUCAACCCUCGAACCCCUCCGGGGGUCCGGCGUUGGGGAUCGGGAACCCCUCAGACGGGAUCCCGGCCCCGAAAUACAGUGGCGGUCUCGCCGCAGCCUCUCCUGCGCAGUAGUUUGCACAACUCGCACCGGGAGCGCGGCGCGUCCACGUCCGUAAAACACCCAACUUCUGAAAUGUUGACCUCGGAUCAGGUAGGAAUACCCGCUGAACUUAAGCAUAUCAAUAAGCGGAGGAA